CGAGGUGUUGUGGGUAGCGUACUUCUGAGCCGCGCUGUCGUAUUUUUGGACGUGGUGACAGUUUUUCAGUGCUUGUGCUCUGCCUAUGCGACGAGUCUUCUCUAGGAAGAGCACUCACCAGACUAAGAACAUGGCCCCAGGGCUCCUGACUACUAGGGAUGAGAAUUGUUUCUAUGGGAAAUUUUAUUCAUGAAGUGAAUUUUGGACUUACCACAGAAUAUGGCCAAGUGAAGAAAGAUGCCACCAAAUAUGGCCAGGUGAAGAGAGAUGAGUGUUUUAGAUCAUGUGAGUUACAAUUCUAUAGUAGAGCAUCUGUGGGUUUUUGUCUGCUUUUAAAACCAUUGACAAGAUGCUCUAACAUCUUUGCUCUCUAUUCUGCUACCACUAGCUUUCCUUUCCCUCCUGCCAGAUGUUUGUACCUUCCUGUAUCAUAGGCUUUCCCCCUUUCCUUCUUAUGGCAUCUGUGUUCCCUUUCUCUCUACAUGCCUCAUCUUGAUUUUUAGCCCUCUGAUUUUUUCAUGUCUAUUCUGAAUCUUACUCAUGUUUUAAAUUUAAUUUUUCUUUUACUUAAAAAAUUUUUGUUUUGGCUGUACAUGGAUUUUAUUGUGGUACACAGGCUGUUUGGUGCAUUGGCUUUCUCUAGUUG
rnacentral:lncRNA from 1 species